rnacentral:rRNA from 1 species
UACGUAGGGUGCAAGCGUUGCCCGGAUUUAUUGGGCGUAAAGGGCGCGUAGGCGGCUCUGCACGUCCGUUGUGAAAUCGCCCGGCUCAACUGGGCGGGGUCAGCGGAUACGGCGGAGCUUGGGCAAGCUAGGGGGCAAUGGAAUUCCCGGUGUAGUGGUGGAAUGCGUAGAUAUCGGGAGGAACACCAGUGGCGAAGGCGGUUACCUGGAGCUUUGCUGACGCUGAUGCGCGAAAGCGUGGGGAGCGAUCCGG